UGAGUAUUCUAGGUCUUUGUUCUCUUUCUUAUGUCUGUGUGGGAAGCAUUUAACAUGCCUCUGAAGGGCAUUUCGGAAAUGUUUUGUCCUUCAAUUUUUUAAAUACAUUCAGCGUGAAAAUCUGCAGACCUCAUAUUCAGCGUAGAAAUCUGAUGAUUUCAUAGGAUUUGCUCAUUUCCCCUCCUCAGUGCACGCCGCAUGUGUAAAUCUUCAUCUCCUUGCCACUCAUUUAUUCAAUUAUUGUUCUACCCUUUCUGAUUUCAUGCAAUUUUUUCUUGCCGGAUUUUUUCCUUUUCACCCCUGGUUGGUUGCCGCAUGUAUGUAAGUUCUGAUUUUUUGGCUUUUCAUUUAUUAAAUUUCUGAGCUGAAUAUUUCUAUUACUGAUUUGUAUUGGCAGCACAUAAUUUGUACAUAUUUUGUAGCAAAUGUAUUAAAUGCAUAGGUGAUUUUUCCUUCCUUGAUUCUCUGAAAUGGUUAGGAAUUUUACAGGAAAAAAUCCCCCCAUUUUCUGCCCUUU